rnacentral:misc_RNA from 1 species
UCCGGUUUGGCACCGGCAGUCUCUCUAGAGUCCCCGCCAUGACGCGCUGGCAACUAGGGGCGAGGGUUGCGCUCGUUGCGGGACUUAACCCAACAUCUCACGACACGAGCUGACGACAGCCAUGCAGCAUCUGUGGUGCACCCUCGAAGGUCACACGUUUCCGUGCGCUUGCAGCACCAUGUCAAGCCCAGGUAAGGUUCUUCGCGUUGCAUCGAAUUAAAGAACAUGCUCCGCUGCUUGUGCGGGCCCCCGUCAAUUCUUUUGAGUUUUAGCCUUGCGGCCGUGCUCCCCAGGCGGGGCGCUUAAUGCGUUUGCUGCGGCACGGAACUCGUGGAAUGAGUCCCACACCUAGCGCCCAGCGUUUACGGCGUGGACUAC